UAGUGUAGGUCUAUCUUUGUAACACUGUAGGUUUGAGUUACUGUAGGUUUAUCUUUGUAAUACUGUAGGUUUGAGUUACUGUAGGUUUAUCUUUGUAAUACUGUAGGUUUGAGUUACGGUAGGUUUAUCU